rnacentral:rRNA from 1 species
AUUGAACGCUGGCGGCAGGCUUAACACAUGCAAGUCGAGCGGGGUGAUGGUGCUUGCACUAUCACUUAGCGGCGGACGGGUGAGUAAUGCUUAGGAAUCUGCCUAUUAGUGGGGGACAACAUCUCGAAAGGGAUGCUAAUACCGCAUACGUCCUACGGGAGAAAGCAGGGGAUCACUUGUGACCUUGCGCUAAUAGAUGAGCCUAAGUCGGAUUAGCUAGUUGGUGGGGUAAAGGCCGACCAAGGCGACGAUCUGUAGCGUGUCUGAGAGGAUGAUCCGCCACACUGGGACUGAGACACGGCCCAGACUCCUACGGGAGGCAGCAGUGGGGAAUAUUGCACAAUGGGCGCAAGCCUGAUGCAGCCAUGCCGCGUGUAUGAAGAAGGCCUUCGGGUUGUAAAGUACUUUCAGCGGGGAGGAAGGCGAUAAGGUUAAUAACCUUGUCGAUUGACGUUACCCGCAGAAGAAGCACCGGCUAACUCCGUGCCAGCAGCCGCCGCCG